rnacentral:rRNA from 1 species
ACGCACGCUGGCGGCGUGCCUCAUCCCUGCCAGUAGAACGCUGAAGGAGGAGCUUGCUCUUCUGGAUGAGUUGCGAACGGGUGAGUAACGCGUAGGUAACCUGCCUGGUAGCGGGGGAUAACUAUUGGAAACGAUAGCUAAUACCGCAUAACAGUAGAUGUUGCAUGACAUUUACUUAAAAGGUGCAAUUGCAUCACUACCAGAUGGACCUGCGUUGUAUUAGCUAGUUGGUGGGGUAACGGCUCACCAAGGCGACGAUACAUAGCCGACCUGAGAGGGUGAUCGGCCACACUGGGACUGAGACACGGCCCAGACUCCUACGGGAGGCAGCAGUAGGGAAUCUUCGGCAAUGGACGGAAGUCUGACCGAGCAACGCCGCGUGAGUGAAGAAGGUUUUCGGAUCGUAAAGCUCUGUUGUAAGAGAAGAACGAGUGUGAGAGUGGAAAGUUCACACUGUGACGGUAUCUUACCAGAAAGGGACGGCUAACUACGUG